CCAGAGGGCGCUGCAUUUCCUGACUGCUGUGGUGAUCAACGCGCAGCUUCCACUCCGCCAUUCACAUAGGAGGAAGAGCCUGGAGGAGAUGGCUGCCCUGAUAGAGAGCUCUCAAGUGAAUGUGGCGGAGGCCAUAGUGGGAGUUCAGGCCACGGGGAAAGGGAAUGCAGAGGUAGUAGUGGAACCCACGGCAAAUGCCGGGAUAGGGUCAGUGGCAGCGGCAGUCACCACUUCUUUCACUGAAGCCGGGGCUAUAGCAAAAGAAGGGGAGGCUUGUGGGGCGGUUCAAACCGUUCCGAAGAUUCUUUUGGCCUGGGUGGAACCCUCAGUUCAAAAAUUGGAAAUGGAGAAACUUGAGAGGCCCAAGGCAGGCCUUUCCAUGAAGCUGGGCAGAGGCGGUGACCCACAGAUCGACAUGUCUCUGGAUGACAUCAUAAAGCUCCAACGCAGGGCACAGGCCCGUAACCAGGCCUAUUAUGAUGGAAGAAGAGACUAUGAUGGAUACAGAUACUAUUACCAAAGAGGAUUUUAUGAAGGACCCCAGCGGAUAAGGAGGUGGUCUGGACGCCAGAAUAAUUACAGAAGAACCAUUCAGAAUUUAUCCAAGCCAAGGACAUAUUCUUCAGGCAACAGGUCAUUCAGCAGAAACAAUGCAGCUUAUGAGGAGGAUGAAGAUGACGAAUCAACAACUAGGCAGUUCCAGAACCAAAAUAACCACUUUGAGAGACGUGGAAGACGACCAACACGUGGACAAGAGAGAAAUCCAUUUUCGAGUGAUGCGAGAAGGCCUUCGGAGGCCUCUGGCACAAUUGCCAGUGGUGAAACAUCACCUGAAAGAGGGAAGAGGCAGGGGCAGCAGAGGGAUGAUGAAGUGACCCAGGUAUCCCCAUCAAAAUCCCACUCAUCUGAGCGGAAAUCGACAAACAAAAGCAGCUUUCCUGGUAGGUACCAAGUCCAACUCAAACCUGGAGCCAUCCUCACAAUUUGUAUUGAAAAUUCUCAAGUGGAUCAAGAUGAUCAAUCGGACAGAAGCAGCGAUGAGGAAAUUUCAGAUGUCAAAGAAAAGCCUACCUUACCCAAGACUGAGAAAUUCGAGCCCAAAGGGAUCGCCUUGAAAUACAAUUUCCGGGCUCUCGGCAAUCAGACUAAAAUAACACUCCAUGAGAGAUUCUCCAUCCUGCAGCGGAUGAGGGGGAGCGUCACCGUUCCCAGAUCUAGGAACAGAACCGUCACCCUGCCCUAGGUGUUCACCAUCACGGCAGGACAGAGCCAGUCGUCUUUCAAUGCAUUUUUCACGACUGGUGUCUCUUCUAAUUGUUUGUUAAUAGAAAGUUUCAGUUCUCACCUAAAAUUGUUAAGCCGUAAUCUCAGUUAUUCAUUCAAAUCAGUUUUGUAGGAAGACCCAGUAUACCCAGAGGGGACAGUCCCUGUGGGCUCUACAUUCAGGCUCCUUUCCCAGAAAAGGGACCAGGUGAGGGAGAAGGGGUGGAGCGUCUGGAUGGUUUCUAGUUGUUACUUCAGCCUUAUAGCAUCAGAGGGCUCUUUCGGGCCAAGUUUACUGAGGAGCUCAGCUCCCAUUCUGCUCCAGCAUUAGUGUAGACUAGUCCCAUGGGCCUGGCCCAACCUCAGCGGGGCUUUGUAAAACAUCCGAGCAUUGGCUGGUAUGUUGUACACGCACUAAAUAAAGACUUUGAAAACAAGGCCUCGACUCA
ensembl:lncRNA